GUCACUAGGUGUCCUGAGUCCCGGGUCUGCUUCAAGGACUCACAGGCUGUUGGCACAGAGCCUUAAUCUCUCCUCUGUCGGAAGGGGAGAUCAGAAGAGCA